CCGUUUUUGUUUUUAUUUUUAUUUUUCGAUGAAUAUUUUUGAAAAAUCAGCAAUGCACUGAGGCCAUGAAACUUGAACCGCGAAGUGGCGAGGGAUUACUGUAUUACGUUAUUAUUCAGGAAUGUUAAGAUUAAGGUGGUGAGGAGGUCUAUCACUGGCCCUGCAAAGUUUUCUUACCUUGGUCAAGCUCCUCCUCAGCCCAACUCCAAACACUCCGACUCUUUGGACCCUUCCACAUAUCUAUUAUGCCUCAACAGGCUGAACCUGAUGAUGUGGCACCAAGCUGUAGUUAUGCAUGUUCUGAGACUGCAUACAGUAAGGCAAAGAAGAGAGCAGUGUGAGUAAACGAAAACAUCACAUGACAUGCAACUGCGCACAGCAGGCAUAUGCAUAUACACACCAAACAUACCCAAUAUGAACAUCGUAAGCGGACUACUUGAUUACUAUAAACAAAUUAUUUACACAGCAUUUCUAUAGGAAUGAUUCUGCCCCAAGCUAUUUGAUUCAUAUAAGUGGUUGAACACUGUAACCGUGAUCACUAUAAGCAGUAGGAUCAUGCUCAGUGUCAGUGUACAGUAUGUGAUAUUUUACCGCUUUGCUUUAAUCAUAGAUCAAGUACAGUACCAGACGGCUCGAUGGGUUUGGGCUCACAGACGGGGAAGGAAUGGAAAGGCUGUGGUCUUUCCUCCGAAGAUUUGCCAGAGUCACAAAGGGGAUGACUCCAUCUCAUCGCCUUGACCUACUGACUGAUGCCCUUUUGCAUUAUGGACGGAGGAAAUCAACUGACCUAGAAGUGCAGCUCCUGCAAAGACUAGACAAAGCAGAGAAAAUAUCGAUUCUCGUUCAAGAAGAUAUCUCAUCUGUCAUCAGAGAGGCACCAGUGUUGGUUUCUGAAGGAGACAUGGAGAGAUGGAAAAAAGGGAGAUGGAGCUAGCCCAACAGAAACCAACAAUAA